UGUAUGUAUGUAUGUAUGUAUGUAUGUAUGUGUGUAUGUAUGUAUGUGUGUGUAUGUAUGUAUGUGUGUGUGUGUGUGUGUGUGUGUGUGUGUGUGUGUGUGUGUGUGUGUGUGUGUGUGUGUGUGUAUAUCAACAUGUCACUAAUCCAGAACAUAACCUACUUUGGAUGGGCUUGCACUUUCAGUUACUUUUGUUUUUACUCCAGACUGCCCACUGUGAUGCAUUAGGACAUUUUGAGUGUGUAGAAAACCUUUGCAUGGAAAGAUGAAGGUUCUUUGAGUUUAUAUGGGUUAGUUAUCGCUCUAACCUCGUCUUAUGGUUGUACAAUACGUACUGCGUCAUGCUAGAGACAGUGCUUACAUUGGGUUCUUAGGUUUAUUUAUUGUGGUGUUCAUCAAAGUGUGGCCAAUAACAUUUAGGAUGAAACAGUUGAACAAUUGGGCUUCAACUGAAAGAGAACUUGGUUAUUGAUUGUCAGUGUGAUACAUAUAAUUUCCUUUAUAGGGCUAGUCGCUUCCCUUCUUUCAUGAAAAAGUAAUAUAUGGCAACAUAAGAUACAUUGUUAUUCUAAAUAUGUGGAAUGGAUUUUAAAGUCUAAAAAUAUGGAAUAUAUUACUCUAUGUAUGACUUUAGCAUUUCAGUGUAUGCAUACUGUAUGUGGAAUGAGUAUUAUUUCAGUACUUGUAAGGUGACAUGAGCCUGGCAAUAGUUUUAUCAUAAUUCAUGUAUUACUCUUUCUUCUUGGGAAUAUGUUAGAUUUAUUCCAUGUUUUCUAGUUAACUGUAUGAGGCUAAAAUGGGACUUGCUGGUCAUCCACUGAAACAUUUGACCUUUGUCUCUUUUUCAAAUUAGAUUUAUUUUCUUCUGGUUAACAUACAUGUUUUGUUUUGGAGCUGUAAAAGGGAUACUGUAUUCUGAGGACAAUACAGGUUUGGAAGGCAUUUGCAGCCUCUGUUUGUACAAAACAAAUGUUAAAUAAAAUCUCCAGUAUCUAUGUAAAAAA
ensembl:lncRNA